UACAGAGGUGUCAAACGUUGUCCGGAAUUACUGGGCGUAAAGGGCGCGUAGGCGGCCUUAUAAGUCAUAUGUGAAAUCUCGGAGCUUAACUCCGAAACUGCAUUCGAUACUGCCGUGCUUGAGGACUGGAGAGGAGACUGGAAUUUACGGUGUAGCGGUGAAAUGCGUAGAUAUCGUAAGGAAGACCAGUGGCGAAGGCGGGUCUCUGGACAGUUCCUGACGCUGAGGCACGAAGGUCAGGGGAGCAAACGGG
rnacentral:rRNA from 1 species